rnacentral:rRNA from 1 species
UACGAAGGGGGCUAGCGUUGCUCGGAAUCACUGGGCGUAAAGCGCACGUAGGCGGCUUUUUAAGUCAGGGGUGAAAUCCUGGAGCUCAACUCCAGAACUGCCUUUGAUACUGAGAAGCUUGAGUCCGGGAGAGGUGAGUGGAACUGCGAGUGUAGAGGUGAAAUUCGUAGAUAUUCGCAAGAACACCAGUGGCGAAGGCGGCUCACUGGCCCGGUACUGACGCUGGGGUGCGAAAGCGUGGGGAGCAAACAGG